UGUCUUCGGAUAUAGAGACCGGCGCACGGGUGCGUAACGCGUAUGCAACCUACCUUUCACAGGGGGAUAGCCCAGAGAAAUUUGGAUUAAUACCCCAUGGUAUAUAGAGAUGGCAUCAUUUUUAUAUUAAAGUCACAACGGUGAAAGAUGGGCAUGCGUCCCAUUAGCUAGAUGGUAAGGUAACGGCUUACCAUGGCUACGAUGGGUAGGGGUCCUGAGAGGGAGAUCCCCCACACUGGUACUGAGACACGGACCAGACUCCUACGGGAGGCAGCAGUGAGGAAUAUUGGACAAUGGGCGCAAGCCUGAUCCAGCCAUGCCGCGUGCAGGAUGACGGUCCUAUGGAUUGUAAACUGCUUUUAUACGGGAAGAAACCCCGCCUCGUGAGGCGGAUUGACGGUACCGUAAGAAUAAGGAUCGGCUAACUCCGUGCCAGCAGCCGCGGUAAUACGGAGGAUCCAAGCGUUAUCCGGAAUCAUUGGGUUUAAAGGGUCCGUAGGCGGCCUUAUAAGUCAGUGGUGAAAUCUCCCGGCUCAACCGGGAAAUUGCCAUUGAUACUGUAGGGCUUGAAUUAUUAGGAAGUAACUAGAAUAUGUAGUGUAGCGGUGAAAUGCUUAGAGAUUACAUGGAAUACCAAUUGCGAAGGCAGGUUACUACUAAUGGAUUGACGCUGAUGGACGAAAGCGUGNGUAGCGAACAGGAUUAGAUACCCUGGUAGUCCACGCCGUAAACGAUGGAUACUAGCUGUUGGGGGCAACUUCAGUGGCUAAGCGAAAGUGAUAAGUAUCCCACCUGGGGAGUACGUUUGCAAGAAUGAAACUCAAAGGAAUUGACGGGGGCCCGCACAAGCGGUGGAGCAUGUGGUUU
rnacentral:rRNA from 1 species